AGGGUGUCGUUGUUAAAAGUACCAGAAUGAGAUAAAGAACCUGGUAAUCGAGGAUCGAAACAACUCAUAAUAUCGGCGCGUCCACCAAAUGCACCAAAAGGAAGGCCACCACCCAAGUAUUUGCCCAGCGUAGUCAAAUCAGGCUUCAAACAAUAAAUUUGCUGUAAACCGCCGGGGCUAAGUCUUGAGGUCAUAACCUCAUCCAAUAUAAAUACAAUGUCAUUUUUCUCACACUCUAGCUGAAUCGUCUGCAUAAAUUCUUUGUCGGCUGGAAUUGCACCACCCG